ensembl:lncRNA
UGUGUUUACACUAUACCAUAGUCUAUAAGUAUGCAAUAGCAUAUGUCUAAAGUGACAAAUGUACAUAAUUUUAAAAUAGUUUAUUGCUAAAGCGUUAGGAAUCACACGCACCCUCAACAAGUCUUGUCUGUUUGCUAGUAGAGGGUCUUACUUCUAAGAUGGCUGCUGACUGAUCAGUGUGAUGGUUAUUGAGGUUAAGGUGGCUGUGGCAAUUUCUUAAAAUAAGACAGCAGUGGAGUUUGCUUCAUUCAUUGACUGUUCCUUUCACAGAUGAAUUUUCUGUAACAUGCAGUGCUGUUUGUUAGCAUUUUACCCACAGCAGAGCUUUCACAACUGGGGUCAUUCCUCUCAAACCCUGCCACUGCUUUGUCAACCAAGUUGAUACAAUCUAAAUCCUUUGUUGUCAUUUCAACAGUCUUCCCCAGGAGUAGAUUGAGAUUUAAUUUCAAGAAGCCACUUCCUUUGCUUGUCCUUAAGAAGCAGCUUCUCACCCAUUCAAGUUUGGUCAUGAGAUUGCAACAAUUCAGUUACAGUUUUGGUUGAUUCCCUGAUGGCUCAGACGGUAAAGUGUCUCCUGCAUCAUAGGCAUAUUCUUUACUGUCUGAGCCACCAGGGAAGCCCCCCACUACAGGGGACAUGGAUUCAAUCACUGGUGAGGGAACUAAGAGCCCACAUGCUGCAGGCUGUGGCCAAAAGAGAAAAAGAAAAAGAAAAACCAGUUCACCUUAUCCUGACACCGCAUGACAGGGACUGUCCUGGUUUUGCACAGAUUACCAGGAAAGUUGUGAUUUUUGGUUAGAAUCUGAAGGAUGUUUCCCUGGUUGAAGCUUAAUCCCUCAGUGUUGAUUCUCCUCACUUUAGAUUUUUUUCAGAACACAAUUCAGUUUUUCUGUUUUUCUCACCCAUGACACACUUGUCAGUCCCUUUAAGGGUCUUGGAUCUGGCAGUCAUGUGUCUCUUGGGGGAUGUGAUCUGCAUCUCCCCUGUGAGUGUAGCCUGUUUCCCUCUUUUUUUAAUAAAAAAUUUAUUUAUUUAUUCUUGGCUGCGCUGGGUCUUCGUUUCGGCGCAGGCUUUCUCUAGUUGCUGCGAGCAGAGGCUCCCCUUUGUUGUGGUGUGUGGGCUUCUCGUUGCAGUGGCUGAUCUGGGGCACUAGGCAAGGCUCCGUGGUUGUGGUGCACAGGCUUCGUUGUUCCACGGCAUGUGGGAUCUUCCCGGACCAGGGAUUGAUGCUGUGUCUCCUGCACUGGCAGG